rnacentral:rRNA from 1 species
UACGUAGGGUGCAAGCGUUGUCCGGAAUUAUUGGGCGUAAAGAGCUCGUAGGCGGCUUGUCGCGUCUGCUGUGAAAACUCGGGGCUUAACCCCGGGCCUGCAGUGGGUACGGGCAGACUAGAGUGAUGUAGGGGAGACUGGAAUUCCUGGUGUAGCGGUGAAAUGCGCAGAUAUCAGGAGGAACACCGAUGGCGAAGGCAGGUCUCUGGGCAUUAACUGACGCUGAGGAGCGAAAGCAUGGGGAGCGAACAGG